UACGGAGGAUGCAGGCGUUAUCCGGAAUGAUUGGGCGUAAAGCGUCCGCAGGUGGCAAUGUAAGUCUGCUGUCAAAGCGUCUGGCUCAACCAGAUAAAGGCAGUGGAAACUACAUAGCUAGAGUAAGGUAGGGGUAGAGGGAAUUCCUGGUGUAGCGGUGAAAUGCGUAGAGAUCAGGAAGAACACCGGUGGCGAAAGCGCUCUGCUGGACCUUAACUGACACUGAGGGACGAAAGCUAGGGGAGCGAAUGGG
rnacentral:rRNA from 1 species